rnacentral:rRNA from 1 species
GACGAACGCUGGCGGCGUGCUUAACACAUGCAAGUCGAACGGAAAGGCCCUGCUUUUGUGGGGUGCUCGAGUGGCGAACGGGUGAGUAACACGUGAGUAACCUGCCCUUGACUUUGGGACAACUUCAGGAAACUGGGGCUAAUACCGGAUAGGAGCUCCUGCUGCAUGGUGGGGGUUGGAAAGUUUCGGCGGUUGGGGAUGGACUCGCGGCUUAUCAGCUUGUUGGUGGGGUAGUGGCUUACCAAGGCUUUGACGGGUAGCCGGCCUGAGAGGGUGACCGGCCACAUUGGGACUGAGAUACGGCCCAGACUCCUACGGGAGGCAGCAGUGGGGAAUAUUGCACAAUGGGCGGAAGCCUGAUGCAGCAACGCCGCGUGCGGGAUGACGGCCUUCGGGUUGUAAACCGCUUUCGCCUGUGACGAAGCGUGAGUGACGGUAAUGGGUAAAGAAGCACCGGCUAACUACGUGCCAGCAGCCGCGGUGAUACGUAGGGUGCGAGCGUUGUCCGGAUUUAUUGGGCGUAAAGGGCUCGUAGGUGGUUGAUCGCGUCGGAAGUGUAAUCUUGGGGCUUAACCCUGAGCGUGCUUUCGAUACGGGUUGACUUGAGGAAGGUAGGGGAGAAUGGAAUUCCUGGUGGAGCGGUGGAAUGCGCAGAUAUCAGGAGGAACACCAGUGGCGAAGGCGGUUCUCUGGGCCUUUCCUGACGCUGAGGAGCGAAAGCGUGGGGAGCGAACAGGCUUAGAUACCCUGGUAGUCCACGCUGUAAACGGUGGGUACUAGGUGUGGGGUCCAUUCCACGGGUUCCGUGCCGUAGCUAACGCUUUAAGUACCCCGCCUGGGGAGUACGGCCGCAAGGCUAAAACUCAAAGGAAUUGACGGGGCCCCGCACAAGCGGCGGAGCAUGCGGAUUAAUUCGAUGCAACGCGUAGAACCUUACCUGGGUUUGACAUGGAUCGGGAGUGCUCAGAGAUGGGUGUGCCUCUUUUGGGGUCGGUUCACAGGUGGUGCAUGCCUGUCGUCAGCUCGUGUCGUGAGAUGUUGGGUUAAGUCCCGCAACGAGCGCAACCCUUGUUCACUGUUGCCAGCACGUUAUGGUGGGGACUCAGUGGAGACCGCCGGGGUCAACUCGGAGGAAGGUGGGGAUGACGUCAAGUCAUCAUGCCCCUUAUGUCCAGGGCUUCACGCAUGCUACAAUGGCUGGUACAGAGAGUGGCGAGCCUGUGAGGGUGAGCGAAUCUCGGAAAGCCGGUCUCAGUUCGGAUUGGGGUCUGCAACUCGACCUCAUGAAGUCGGAGUCGCUAGUAAUCGCAAAUCAGCAACGCUGCGGUGAAUACGUUCCCGGG